GACGAACGCUGGCGGCGUGCUUAACACAUGCAAGUCGAACGGAAAGGCCCUGCUUUUGUGGGGUGCUCGAGUGGCGAACGGGUGAGUAACACGUGAGUAUCCUGCCCCUGACUUUGGGAUAACUUCAGGAAACUGGGGCUAAUACCGCAUAGGAGCUCCUGCUGCAUGGUGGGGGUUGGAAAGUUUCGGCGGUUGGGGAUGGACUCGCGGCUUAUCAGCUUGUUGGGCGAGUAGUGGCUUACCAAGGCUUUGAGGGGUAGGCGGCAUGGGAGGGUGAACGGGCACAUGGGGCCUGAGAUACGGCGCAGAAUCCUACGGGAGGCAGCAGUGGGGAGCCUUGCACAAUGGCCGGGAGCCUGAGGCGGCGAUGCCGCGUGCGGGAUGACCGCCUUCGGGUGGUAAACAGCUUUCGACUGUGAUGAAGCGUGAGUGACGGUACUGGGUAAAGAAGCACCGGCUAACUACGUG
rnacentral:rRNA from 1 species